rnacentral:sRNA from 1 species
AUGCAAUAUUUACUAACACGGAAUUGCUAUAUUGACUUAGCCAUUACUUGCCAACAACCAGUUUCUUGGAAUACACCCAACAUAUCAACAAACCAAAACACUUACAAAUACAAUGAGACCAUUCGAUUUUUGUGUUCUGAGGGAUUUUAUCUGCAAGGAAAUCAAGAGAGAAAAUGCACAAAGAACGGACUACUCGAACCUCCUUUUCCAAAUUGUACAGCAAUUACAUGCCAACCACCAGUUUCCUCGGAGGCACCUCAUAUCAUGACAGACAAAGAGACGUAUAACUACAAUGAGAUCAUUCAAUUUUCAUGUUCAGAAGGAUUUUUUCUGCAAGCAAAUCAAGAGAGGAAUUGCACAAAAAAUGGACCGCUUAAACCUCCUUAUCCAAAUUGUAAAGAGGUCAGAUGUAGUACGCCAGAAUUUGAACAAAAGGAGAUAAUAAUUUUAACCAACGUAACAGAUCACAAAUACAAUAAAACCAUACAGUUUGAAUGCAAACAAGGCUUUAGCUUGAAAGGAUCACAAAAGGCCACAUGUCAUCAAAAUGCAUCUUUUUGGUUCAUUGACGGGACACCAAAAUGUGAAGGGGUCAUAUGUAGAACGCCAGCUUUUGAACAAAAGGAGAUAAUAAUUUUAACCAACGUAACAGAUCACAAAUACAAUAAAACCAUACAGUUUGAAUGCAAACAAGGCUUUAGCUUGAAAGGAUCACAAAAGGCCACAUGUCAUCAAAAUGCUUCUUUUUGGUUUAUUGACGGCACACCAAAAUGUGAAGAGGUUAGAUGUAGAACUCCAACACUGCAACAAAAGGACGUAAUGAUUAAACCAAACAAAACAAGCCAUAAAUACAAUACAACCGUACAAUUUGAAUGCAAACAAGGUUUUAGCUUGAAAGGACCGCAACAGGCGACAUGUCAACAAAAUGCAUCGUUUUUGUUUAUUGGCGGUACACAACCGGAAUGUGAAGUUUCAGAAGAAGACAAUUCCCUCUCAGAAGCAGUUGUCGCAGGAGUUUCCGUAGGAAGCUUGGCUGCAAUUGCAGCAGUUGUUGUUGUUGUAAUCAUUGUGUUAAGGAAACGAAGAUCAAAGAAACCAGAUUCAAAAUAUUAUAAAAACGACGCUUUAUCUCUUGAUGACAUCGACCAUCAAUAUGCAGAAGUUAACGCAAACAGAACAAAGAAAAAUAAAGGUGCCUCUAAACAAGAGGAAGCAUCAAACGAGCAAAAAACCACUUAUUACAACAUGAACAGUCAUGAUGUUGAUAAGGCUAAACAAGCCAGACAAGAAGUAUACUACGAAUUCUCGCCUGUGUGUCGGCCAUCCGAAACAGCCAUUCCUGUCACCGAGUUCAAAAAUUACGUGGAGAUUAAAAAAGGAAAUCAGGAAUUUUUUGCUGAACAAUUCAAGAAGUUUUAUACCGGCCUACAAUUCCCUGCAACAGCUGCUGUGGCGCCAGGAAAUAAGUCAAAAAAUAAGUACAAGAAUAUAUAUCCAUAUGAUGAAACACGAGUACUUUUGAAGGUUGAAAAGGGCAGUUCGGAUUCAGAUUUCAUCAAUGCAUCUUUUAUACAUGGAUUUGGUAACGUAAAGUCGUACAUUGCAGCACAAGGUCCGUUGAUCAAUACUAUAGAUGAUUUCUGGUGGAUGGUGUGGAAUGAGAAAAGCGACAAAAUUGUUAUGCUUACCAAUCUUUCUGAGGAUGAUAAAGUCAAAUGUAUUAAGUACUGGCCAGACUCUGAUUCGAUGGAUACUAGAAAUAUGAAGCUCGAACUGGUGGUUAGCGAGUCUUUUGCAGACUUCACAAUUCGCACGUUUAAUCUUAUUAAUGGUAAGGAGAGCAGAACAAUACGACAAUUUCAUUUCACUGCCUGGCCGGAUAAAGGAGUACCGGCAUAUGCCUCGUCGCUUGUUCACUUCCAUUCUAAAGUCAUUCAUACACCGGGAACUCUGAAGGGGCCUAUGGUUGUUCACUGCAGCGCUGGAAUAGGUAGGACAGGUACAUUCAUAGCAUUGAACUACCUUGUCCAACAAGCCAAAGAAUCAGGAUACGUCGACGUGUUUGAAUGUGUAGAGACUUUGAGACGUCAACGAUUGAACAUGGUUCAAACCCUGGAACAAUAUAAGUUUUUACACAAUGCAACUCUGGAGGCUCUCAUGUGUACUUCAUCAGACCCUUCAGCUUCAAAAUUUCCUCAAAUAUACGAAGAUUUGUUCAAAGUAGAUGCCGAAACCGGAAAACGAAAUAUUGAUUUGAAUUUUGAGAACCUUAAUGUAGCUUUAUCCACAUUACCGGAAUCCGCCUACAGUUUGGCCAAAAACUCUACAAACAGAAAGAAAAACCGAUACAGUAAUAUCUUACCAGUUGAUUUCGAGAUGCCUGAGAUUCGGGAUGAAGAAAACAACCCUAUUUACAUCAAUGCAGUUUUCUUACCGGCCUACAAGAGUAAGCGCUCUUUCAUAGCUACACAGAUGCCUCUCAAAGACACAGUUGUAGACUUUUGGCGACUUCUGUAUGAACAGCAAGUAUCAACCAUCGUCAUGUUAAAUCAACUCGGCUCAGACAAACCUAAAGAGAACAUCGGGAAGUAUUGGCCCAAAGAUUUAAAUGCUGUUUUUGAGUUUGGCCCUUUUCGGAUCACUAAGAAAGGCUUAACAGAAGGGAAAGAUUUUACCAUAGUUGACCUUUGUUGCCACAAAGAGGGACAAAACGAGGAUGAGAGAAAACUUCGACUGUUUCAAUGUCAUUUCUGGCCAGAUUCUUCGACUGUUCCGACUUCAGUUUUGGCGUUUUUAAAGUUGAUCAAUGACGUGGAACUGCAUCAUGACCGGAACAACUCUGGUCCCCUCGUUGUCCACUGCAUGAAUGGGGCCGAAAAGAGCGGGCUGUUUUGUGUCAUGCAGGUUGUGUUAGAGAGAAUGAAAAUUGAGCAAGAUGUAGCCAUACAUCACGUGAUUCAACAGAUGCGCAGUAUUCGACCGAGCAUAAUUCCAAAUGUGGAACAGUUCAAGUUCUGUCACGAUGUGGUUUUGGAAUUUUUGAAACAGUUUGAUGAUUAUUCCAACUUCCAUGAGACUAUACGGUUUUCAUGUUCCGAAGGAUUCUUUCUCCAAGGUACUUCGGAGAGAACAUGCAAAAGGAGUGGUACGCUUCAGCCUCCUUUUCCAAAGUGUACAGAUAUCACAUGUCAGAGGCCUAUCUUAUCCAUUAGAGGUUCACUACAAUUGUCAACGAAUCCACUCCAACAGACAUUUUCUUACAAUGAAUCAAUUUCAUUUUUCUGCAUUACUGGAUACAUUCUACAUGGACCCACUGUGAAAUACUGUCGACAAAAUGGAGAUUUUGAGCAAGACCUUCCUUUCUGUACAGCUGAGGGUAAACAGGAAAGUCCGUCAUUUACUGUCGGAUUUUUCUCAGGAGGUGCCGUUGGUAUUGUCGUCAAUUCUUUCGUUAUAAUCUUCAUCUUCUUUCUAAGACGGCGACUCUGUCAACAAAAGAAGAAAGAAAAUGCAUGGUCUAAAGGAGGAAACCAUCAAAUAGAUGAUAAUGGCCACGAGUAUUCCGGAAUAGUAUACCAAUCCAGUGACAGAGAGGACCACAACCCCAACGUCACAGAACCCUCGAUCUCGGUCAGUGACGGGCACUAUACAGAAACAAAUCCCAUAUCGGACGACAAGGACCACCAGUACACCGAAUUGAAUGAAAUAAAGAUGAAUCAAUUAAGGGAAGCAACUGCUGAAAGACCGGUUAAACUAUAGAAUGCCUCAGUGAUCAAAGUACUAUGAUAUGCUUUUUAAUCAAGUUUAGUUUUGGUAAAAUAAAAUGAAAUAUUGUUUUUCAUCAAUUUAGGUCUUGAAAAAUAACUCUUGCGAACCAGUUUCAAACAAUUAAUGUGUAGCUUUAUGAUCCAUAUGGUCUACAUCCGUGUCCUUUUGAUCAAAUUGUACAUAAAUUAUCAUAUUAAAUUUCAUAAUGGUAAUACAGUUCUUAGAACUAGUUUAAAGCAUUUUUAUUUGGAGGUACAAAACAUGUUAUAAAAUGGCCUCGAUAGGUUAGCGUUAUAUUACUAAUGUAUGUUUAGUAUGUAACUAUAAACAGUUUAGAUUCCGGUGAUUUUCAUGUAUGAAAAAAACUUAAAUAUGGUGUUAGCGUUAAUAUUUAUUAAGGCUCCUCGACACCACGUGACUUCUACUUUUAUGACAGUUCGCCACAAUAUGGCGAUUUUAAUGCAUUGUGAACCAAUUUUAUAUCGUCAAAUGUUGUUGUCAAUCUAUGUGGCGCAAUGGUUUACUAACACGCAGAUUCUGAGUUCAAAUACUGCAGGGACUUUUUCAUUUUCAUGUACAGCGGGGAAAAAAAUGUCAACCCCUUCCCAAACAAAAUUGAUUUUUGGGGGUCACUUUUAAGACGAACACAUGCUAAGUAUCCAUACCUUUAAGUAAUUUAGAUGAAUAAGCUGAACUUUUUCCAUGUGGGUGGAGGACCCUUAAAGCGUUUUUUUUUACAAAGCUUAUCUUCUUUAAAAGAAAUAAUGUAUAGUUGUAAAAAUGACUACGACGCCAUUUGAUCAUCUUAACGGGUGGAAAUAUUUUUCUAAUUCGGUCACAAAGGUAAUUGUUUUAUUUUUUUUAUCAAACGGAUAGGAGCACCAACAAUGACAUUGUCAUUUUUCUUAUUUGUCACAUAUCGAAAUGACUAAUAUCACAAUGCAUUAUGUAAUCUGGU